rnacentral:snoRNA from 1 species
UAACACCUGCCACAGUAGGAUCAUUUCUAUAGGAAUCGUCACUCUUUGACUCUUCAAAAGAGCCACUGAAUCCAACUUGGUUGAUGAGUCGCAGAACCUUUGCACCCUAGAGUGAGACCAAAGAUGUUUCCCUAGCUUGGUCCACAGUCCUCAGCGGCUUGGCCAUCUACCUGCAUUUUUGUUUUGCCUUUUGCUUUUGCGCAGCAGCCUUCGGGCAGCAGUGCUUCAAAGAGGCGCGAUGAUCUUGGCCCUGUCCGUGCACUUCCUCGUGAAGGGAUGGAUAUCUGGGUGGGUGCGAACGGCAGUCUGACAAGU